rnacentral:lncRNA from 1 species
UAUAGGGAGUCCCGCUGGGAUACUAUGGAUGGCGCAAGCGUUUUGUGCUAUCAAAUUUUUCACCGUUAGAUUUAAUUUUUGACUAUUUUUAUCCCUUAGAUUAUACUAUUAAAUUAAUAACUUACACAAUCCUAGGAGACCCACAUCAUUCUAAUCGUAUAUUUUCUCAUCCAAAGAUUUAAAAUCUAAUAGCACCAAUAGCUUGGUGCUAUUGAUAGUAUUCCAGUCUAGUUUGCCAUAUAGGUUUCUGUUGAAUUCUCAUAAAAAUUAUUGGGUAAACUUCAAAUACCACCCCUAUGAUUUCACACUUUCUCACUUUAGUACCCUAUGGUUUAAAAUAUAUCAAGUUAGUGCUCUAUGGUUUUAUUUUUAUCUUUUCGUCAGUUUUUCUAUUAAUUUUUCAUUAAAUUAUUAUAUACAAAAAAUUUCAGAUACAUCACCUAGGUUUAUUGAAUAUUCACUUUAGUACCCUUUAGUUUUAACUUUGUCACCGAUUUAAUAAAAAAAAAAUAGUGGAUUGAUAAUAAAAAGAUAAAAAUGAAAUCAUAAGACACUAAAUUGAUACUCUUUAAACCGCAUGGGUGGUUUUCGAAGUUUUUCCUAAAAAUUAUUUUUUCUAUGACUCCGACUACUAUACUCUUAUGAGUACGAUCGCCCUUGUACUCAUAAGUCGUUUUCGAUGAUACAGCUUUCGAGUCGACCAUUCAUACCAUUAAACAUCAUGUAGAGCAUUUAAAACUUCUAAAAAACAAAUUUCAUAAUUUUUUGAUAUCAUUCACCUUACAAUCAAAAGAUCUCAAAAUUGACAAUUUUUAACGGCCGGUAUGUGAUACUUGCUAGUUAACGGCGUAAAAGAAUCAAAAUUUGUUGAAUUUUUGAUAAAAAAUUUUAUUCACUACCUAGAUAAAGAUCAAUAACUUUGAUCUUAAAUUGAAGGAUCCUAUCAUCCUUUUUUAGUACGUCGUUCGAUUUUGACCGUUCAUUUGAUGCCCACUUAAUGGACUUUAUUAUGAUUUCGAAAAAUUACGAAAUUUAUUUUCUAGAAGUUUCAGAUACUCUAGAUCAUAUUUAACGGAAUGGAUUCUCGAUUCGAAAGCUCCAUCAUCGAAAACAACUUAUGAGUACGAAGGGCUAUAUAAUUAUAAGAGCAUAGUAGCCCUACUCUAUUUGUACUAUUUAUUCCUAGUGUAAACUUUAAAUACCACCCCUAUAGUUUUACACUUUCCCACUUUAGUAUCCUGUAGUUUAGAGUGUAUUAAUUUUGUAUCCUGUGGUUUUAUUUUUCUCUUUUCGUUAGCUCCUCCGUCAACAUUCGUUAAAUUAUAUACAAAAAAUUUCAGAUACCCCACCUAGGUUUAUAAAAUAUUCACUUAGUACCUUUAAUGUUUAAUUUUGUCACUGAUUUAACGAAAAAAAAAUAGUUAGAAAAAUAAAACCAUAGGGUACUAAAUUAAUAAACUUUAAAUCACAAGGUAUUAAAAUAAAAAAUGCGAAACUACAUGAGUGGUAUUUGAAGUUUUUUCUUAUUUUUAUGUAUCAUGGAUACUUUUAUAAGCCUCGCGUAUCUGUGUCGAACACACGCUUGUCCGAGUCGGACUCGUGUCCAAUGUUGACACUUCUUGAACGCGCAUUUAAUGCCGAUCCAUAAAACAUAUAAUUAAAAAAUAUAUAUACAUAUUUUUAUUUAUUUUUUACGCAUAUAUAAUUUAAGAUGAUAAAUAUUUUAGGUUUUUUUAUGAAUGCAUAUAAAGUUUUUAGACAAUAUAAAUAAAUUAUAUAUAAUGGAGAACCUUUUUUUCAAAAUAUAUGAAUUCAAUGAAAUUUUUGUUACCUUUCAUUCGUACGAGAAAUAUGAUAAUAUUUUAUCAAAAUUAAUAUUUUAUAUAUAAUAAAUAUAUAUUAUUAUAUUAAUAAUAUUAUAUUUUAUUAGCGGUGUCUGAGUCUCAAUUUUUUAAAAACUAUCAAGUUGUCAUGUCUGCGUCAUAUCGUAUUUCGUGUCCCGUGUCAGUGUUUGUGACGUCUAGAUUGAUUUAUAUAACUGUCAAAUUAAAGUUUUUUUAGUUAUGCUGUUUAUUUAGCACAAUGUGACUAAUAUAAAAAAUAAAAAGUUCGAAAGAUUUUUUUUCAUUUUAAUUCUUUAAAAAAUUUAUAAUUUAUUAAAUGAUUCUAUAAAAAAUUAUUUAGCCAAAUAAUUUUUUUGUCCAAUUCAGCUAAAGGUGAAAUAACAAUAUGAAGAAGGUCAAUCAUUUACCGUAUUCAUAAGUUGAUGAAUCAUUUAUCAUCUUUUUCCCAGCAAAGAAAUUGUAAAUAAUUUAUUGUUUCAUUCUAUUUUUUAUAUAUAAUUCUAACAGCUAUAUAAAAUUCCAAUAAAUCAUAUAUAAUCCUAAAACUUACAAAAUCUUAACAACCUAUUCAUAUAAUUUUAACAAUUAAACAAAAAUUCUAAUAAUUUAUGUACAAUCCUAACAACCUCAAAAAAAUUCUCAUAAUCUAUAAAAAAAAUGAUAACCAUUGAAAAUGAUGAAUGAUUUACCGUUUUCUAAAUACGGUGAAUGCAUGAUUCACCACGUUCCUCAUUUUUGUUCAGCAUGGUACUAAGUUGAUAAAAGAAUGGUUAAUUGGAUAAAUAAAAUUUUUAAAGGAUCAUUUGGCAAAUUAAAAUUUUUUAUAGGAUUAUUAUAAAAAAAUGUCCGAGUUGAAAAUUAUAAUUAUUAUUGUAAUUGAAUUUAACCUAGGAUGGACUGAAACCAAUUAUGGAGAAAAAAUGUGAGAAAAAAUAUAAUAAAAUAUUAGCAUUUCACAUUUUUAGUUUUUAUAUCGUUUACUUUUUAUCAAACAAACAAUAGAAUUAGAGUAACUUAAGUUUCACACAAUAUAUAUAUAUACAGAUAGCGAAAGAAAUAAAUUUUUAUCUGAACUCUAGUUUACUCGAAAGUCUAAUUUAAUCUGAAUUUCACUUUUAGUCAAACAAAGCGGCUCAUACAUUUUACUCACCAUACCAAAAAUUUAAGAAAAUUGCUAUUUUUACCCUUUGUUAUUGUGUGUACAUCUUACAUCUAUUGAUAGUAGAUUUAAAAACUUUUUUAGAUUUGUAGUAUUAUGAAAAAGGUUGAAAAGACAAGCAAAUAAAAUGGUCACUUUUUAAAGUCUAGGAUAUAAGAUUUACACCUAGCAAUGCUCAAUUUUUAAUAAGAGUGAACUACAAUUUGCCCUAGCUAUGUAGUUUGGCAUAUAUUUCACUAAUCUAUGGUUCAAAAAUUAUAUCUCACUAUUCUAUAAUUUUGAAACAAAAAAGCAAAGUAACACUUUGUGCAAAAUUACCGGCCGUCUCUAGAGCAAGUACCAAAGGGCUUGGUGGUUGGUACCCGAGACCCAAGUUCUAAUCCUAGUUGAUUUAUAUUUUUAACUAAGUUUAUUUCUAAAUAAAAUAACCAAGCAGGUAGCGUGCUACCUAUCUCUCUCUCAAAAAAAAAAAAAACACUUUGUGCAAAAUCGUGCAAAUUAUAUAAUGCUACAUUUAUUGAUAUAUAAUUUGUAAAAAAUAUCAUUCACUAUCUUGUUUAAUGAUGAUUCCUUACAACAAAAUACAAGUAAAAUGAUAUGAUAUUUAAGUGUAACUUUUCUCAAUACACUUUGAAAUCUAUUCUUUCAUAAUUUACAUUUUAAAACAAUAAUUUAAUUUAACGUAUAUGAUUUAUAAUAUUUAAUGAGCUUACUUAAAACAAAUUAUAUAUUUUAAAAACGUAUUAUCUAGUGAUCAAAUAGUCCAAAAAAAUUAACAAAAAAGGGAAAAAUAUUAUUUGAUUCAUAAAAAACUUGUAAACAAAACUUUACAAAUAUACGUUUGUAAAAUUAAAUUCUGGUUUCAGGCUUUUAUUACUGAGUUUUAGGGGUAAUGUUGUAUAUGCCGUGUAACUUAACUUAUACACCAAGGGCGCGUUUGGUUCGAAGUCGGAAUCGAAAUCGGAAUCGGAAUCAAAAUAAGCUGGAAUCGGAAUCGGAAUGACUCAUUACCUAAUUUUGUUUGGUUCAUCACCUGAAUCGGAAUCGGAAUAAAUCAUUCCCAUUGUCGGUGUUUGGUUCAGGUAGAUAUAAAAAAUGUAAUCAAAUUAAUAUACUAACAUUAUCUUUAUAAUAUAUUAAUUUAAAUUCAAAUUAAAAAUUAAAUAUUAAAAAUUUACAUCAAAAUUUUGAAAUAAUGUCUAAAUUUUAAAUCUUUUUUUUUUAAAAAAAAUUAAACUUUGAAGUUGAGUGGAUAAUUUAAAAUAUGAAACUAAAUUUUGAUUUAUUCAAAUUCAAAUUUAAAAUUACAAUUUAAAUUUUAAUUUGAAUACAUAAAUUUAAUUUAAGUUUGAAAUAAAAUUUGAAUAACAUUUUAUAUAAAUUAAAAUUUAAUUUAAAUUCAAAUUCAUAAGUUAGAUUCGAAAUACUUGAUUAAAUUUUAAUUUUUAAUUUAAGUUUAAAUUAAAAUUUAAAAUUAUAUAUUUAAUUUUAAAAUUUUAACUCAUAUUUUAAUUAAAAAAGUUGAAAAAAUAAAUUUAAUCCGAAUAAAUAUCCAUUCCGUCCGGAUUCAACUUUCAAUCCGGCCUCCUAGGCCAGAUUGAAAAAAGAGGUGAUUGGGAAAUUCCCAUUCCACUCGGGAAUUGUAAUCGGAAUGGAACUCCCGCGUACCAAACACCCACAAACGGAUUUAUCCAUUCCGAUUCCGAUUCCAGAGUGAAAAAGAAGCGAGCCAAACACGCCCCAAGUGUAGGUAAUAAUUUAGGAAACGGAUUGGGAUAGUUGGCGUGUUCCCUCAGUCAUCUCGGCGUAGAGAAUCAGACAUUUUCUGACAUUUUUUAGUUGUUCGUUGGUUCAGAUUUUGACCUUUUCUUUCUGGGAAGGGACCCAUGUAAAUAUUAGAAAAGGACAAUUAUGCCCUCAUUUGGGAAAAUAUUUUGCUGGAAAAUGUCUCUUUGGACGAGACAAUUUUGUCCAAAAUAUUUUAAGAUUCACGUCAUCUGCACAAUAAAUAGUAAAUAUAAAAUGAGUUUUUUUUUUUUUAUUUAGGCCUCUCGUGAUUUUUUUUUUCACAAAUAGCCUCAUAAAAUUUAUAAUUACAAAACUAGUUCUAUUUCCGCCACGCAAACGCCACAUCAGCCGCUGGCUGGAGUAGUAGUAUAAGCUAAAUAUGGUGAACUAUUCACUUUAUUUUGAUACGAUGAAUGAUUUACUGUGUUUAAGUUAAAUUACACUACUAGACUGUUUGAGUUAUUCUGCACUGCAGGAAUUGGGUAUUAUUUAGUCAUCUGAACACAAUGAAUGAUUUAUUUUGUUCAACUUAACUCUCCACAGCUAUCGACGUGACACUUACAUGACGGGAAUAUGAUCAGUUUUGUAAUUAUAAAUUUUAUGAGACUAUAUGUGAAUUUUUUUUUGAGAGGGGGUUAAACGCAAAAAAAAGCCCAAAUGAAAUAGACGUUUCAUAUUCAAAGUCGUCUCCGCGGAAUUUCCAUUCCUUAUCUAAUAUCCAAUUCUUUCGAUUCAAAUUCUGGGAAUUACCUGAAAGGGGUGAAUUUUCAAAACCUGAUGCGUCUAUUUUUUGUUUUUUUGGAUGAAUUGCAAGUUUGGUCCUCAAACUAUGAGUUAAGUGACACUUUAAUAUUUAACUUUAAUUUAUUUAUUAUAAUUUUAGACUCAAGUUUUUUGAAUUAUUACAACCAAGUUCUACAAUUUAAUUUACGUAACUAAAUUUUAACGCAUCGUUAAUAUAAAAAUAAUGUAAUAUCUUACUAUUGGCUCAUCAUCAUCAUUAAUCACAACGCUACUGUAUCCUCUCGACAUUAGUGAUAUAUUGAUGCUCAGUCAACUAAAUUGGAUUGUAAACUUGAUUUCAAUAAAUUUUUCAAAUUCAAACUAAAAAUAAUUAAAAAAAUUAAAAUUUAAGAACUAAAACAUCAUCUGCCUCGGAGUAUAUGUAGCAGGGAAGUUUCCCAAACAGCUGGGGUUUGAGUUCAGAUGAAAGCUGUCAGUAUACAAUGCAAUCAUGCAGCCACUAUGAUUUCUUCAAUUAUCUGAAGAACAGUCGUCUGCAUCUCAUCAUCCUCCAGCUUCUACAUUGCACUACAUUUGAGAUGUUAUGUAAACCUGUCUUCAAAAUUAUUGCUAAGAUAUGUAAUUGGAUGAUUUGGUACUUUUUAUUUAUAUGUGGUAUAUGAAGUUACCUUGAAUUUAAUAAUUUUAAUAAUUGAUGAAAUAUAAUUAUUAUUCAAUAAUUGUAAAUGAUAUAUAAAUAACCUGAAAUUUUAUUACAAAGCAUGUAUUGAUGUGUUUGUAAAUUUAUAUUUUGUGUUUAGUUGGGUGGACUAUACACACAGUUUUGUUGGAUGUUAAAGAGAAAAAAGAAAAAAAAGGUGCUUUGAGAUUUGAAUAUUACGGAGUAUUUAGAAUCAAAUUGAAUGAAUUAUAUUCUCUCAGAAAUUUCAUCGAACACCUAGAACGCAGUAUCAAUCUCCGGGCUCUUCCUCGUCCCUCUUCGACAUCUCCUUCUCCUUCUCCUUCGUCUUCUUCGUCAACCUCGGCCUCGGCUUCAUGGGCUUCAUGUAGGACGCUUGGAACCCCGCCAUGGCCCUCAGCGCCUUGAGCAGCGCCGCCUCCAACUCGGCCCCCUGCCCCUCGGGCUCCAGCACCCUGAGCGCCCUCGCCACCGCCUCCGCGGUGCUCACGCACCCCUUGUGCGGCUCCUUCUUCAGCACGAGCUCCGAGUCCCACGCGCUCGCCCCCUCCUCCCCCGUCCCCUCGUCGAACCCGCCCCCGAGCGUGACCCACGUCGCGAACCCCUCCAGGAACGGGAGGCUCGCCGCGGCCAUCUCCCGCGCCUGCGCCCACGUCCCGUCGAACACCACGAGCACCGGCGACGCGCGGUCCCUCGGCGGCGUGGCCGCGGCCCACCGCGCGAGGUCGAUGGCGCGGGGGCCGGGGAAGAGGAAGAGGGUCGGGGAGGGGCGGGAGUCGAGGAGCGGGGAGGAGCCGGGGCGGAGGCGGCGCCCGGGGACGGGCACGAGGCGGAGGAGGGAGCGGGAGAGGAGGGGGAGCGUCGCAAGGCGGUUGCGGCGGAGCUCGUGGGGGUGGUGGAGGACGACGACGGUGGCGGCGGUGGGGAUCGGCGACGUGGGGAGGUGCGCGCACACGCACACGCUCGCCGGGCGCCCGCACCCCGCGUCGCACGUCGUCGCCGGCGCCGGCGCUGAGGGGGAGGAGAACGGAUCCGAACUCGGCGUCGUCCAUGGCACAGGUUCGACAACGUUUAAGUGUUUAUUUCCUUAUUAAGUUGACGGGCUUUUUUUUGCAAUUGGCCCCUCAAUUUUUUUUCUUUACAAAUAGUCCCAUCAAAUUUAUAAUUACAAAUUUGGCCAUAUUUUCGCUACGUAGGUACCACAUCAGCGCCACAUAAGUUGGAGGGGGUGUUAGGUUAAACGCGGUGAAUAACACUUAUAUUCCCCUACUUUUCUUUUUCAAUACUUAUAUUUUUUUCGCAGUACAUAUAUUUUUUCUAGAUACAGUACAAUCAUUCACCGUAUUCAAACAAGGUGAAUGGUUCACCGUGUUCUGUACUUACAUUUUUUUUAUAUUUUUUCGCAACACAGAUAUUUGUAUUUUUUUCAAACACGGUGAAUCAUUUACCGUGUUUAGAUAUCGUGAAUGGUUCACCGUGUUUAACUUAACAAACUGGCCCAGUCCUACUUACGUGGCGCUGACGUGGCGCCUGCGUGGCAGGAUUAGGACAAUAUUUGCAAAUAUAAAUCUGCUGGUGUUAUUUUUAAAAUAAAUUUUUUUCAGGAGGCCAAAUGCAAAAAAAGUCCUAAGUUGAAAGUUGAUUUUUUUUUUUAUUAAUAUUAUCGGAACUGCUGUGCCCUUACAAUUUUUUUUUUAACAUAUGAUUAAAUAAGUUCAUAUAGAAUUUGAAUAGAAAAAAACAAUAGAAAUAAAAAUAAUAAUAAUUCAUUCAAUUUGAUUCUAAAUACUCUGUAAACUACAGAGGGGCAAAUUGAGGUUUACCCAUUUAAAUAUUUAUUUUGGGCGGAUUCAGGGCGGGGCUUCGUUAGGCGGAUUCAGGGUGGAUCAAUUUUUCACUUCUCGCAACACGGAUCAGUCUCAAGUUAUAAAAAUGACCCUGUUUAUUGUGCCAAAUCUGCUUAUUGUCUAUAUGUUUCUCAUUUACUACCCUAUUCGGAGCAGAUCAGCACGAGAACUCCCUCAAUCCGGAUCCAUCCCUACUCAAGGGCCCAUUGAAAAGCCAACAAUAGGUUCAUUCUAGAUUGCAUGUGUGGCAUGCAACAAUAAACUCUUGUGCAAUACAACUAGAACAUUAGCGACAAUUGAUGGUUUGUUUGUAUGAGAAGUAUCUAAAACAUUUUCGCAAUAUUUGACCGUAAGUAAUGCUUUGGGUGCCGUUUAUCUUGCCACUUUAUAGUCGUGACGCGUUGGUUGUACUAUACAAAACCCAAUUGUUGCACACAAUGCAUGUAUGCACGCACAUCAGCAACUUUUUAAAGAAUCUUUGAGGAUACACAGCACCAGCACUUCUCUUUUACCGCCAUCUUGAAAUAAAGCUUUUCCUGCUAGUUGAAAACAGUCUGAUUGGAUAGUUCCAAUACUAUUGUGCCAUGAUGGUAAAUAACAAUUCUAGUACUACGAAUGCACGUAGACCAGUAUAUAUUCAAUCAUUUCUCUCAAAUAAAAGGUGUUCAUAAUCUCAACUAGACAAUGUGUUUCUUUACUAAGUUUGCAGUGGUUCUACAAGAUCGUCCUCUAUCUCUUCCGUGUUAAAUGUCAGAGACUUUAUCAGUAUCUUGUUUGCUAAAUUAGGCUGCUUGAUCAUCGGAAAAGUUAGUUAGUCUUACUACGAUUACUAAAGAAAAUUGAAAAGAUCUCCAAAGAAAUUGCAGAUUGAUUAUGAUGGUAAUUUUCUGUAAUUAGUAGCACAAUAUCUUAUGAUAUUGUGCAGUUUUCAAACUCGAGAGUACUCGACAUAAAAGGAAAAAAGCAAAAUGAGCAAAACAACCAUUAACAUUUAAAUUUGGCAUGAAAAUUGGUACACAUUGAAAUCAACUGUGUAUGAUACAACAGAGUCAUGAAAAACUGAAACGACUAUUCUUAGAAGCAAUCCACAUAUCCACAAGUCAUAAGCACUUUCCCCGUGCAGCAGCUAUACCUACAAGUGUACAGCUGAAUUGAUUUGAAGUAUACAUAUCAAGCAACAUAUCGCGGAGGAUUAUAAUUUUGUGACAAAAAACAUUUGUCCUGGCUCUUAUACCUCCAUUUAGUAGCUAAUUGGUAUCUCGAUAAUCGUCUCAAUAGGAUGGCGACAUACUGGACACUUCUUAGACUGAAGCUUAACGGCUUCAGCACAUUCUCUGCACAUGCACUGUAAAUGCAAGAAAGUUCGAUCAUUAGUACAAUUCACCUUAAGAGACUGAUUCAGUUUUCUCACAGUUCAGGUCAUAGUUAAGUUUGUGCAGUUCUUACCAUAUGUCUACAUGGAAGAAGAGCAGUAUCCCUUGCGUUGAACAUACAGAUUACACACUCUAUCUCCGAAAUAUUGGUGCCAAUUUCUGCUUCUGGGGAAGAGCCAACACCGAAAAACUCCUGGUCAUAACAUUCACCGUUGACCCACAAAAGUUGCCGUUUGACCUUCACUUGGAAUCCAAAGGGUCCAUCAUCGACCUUCUCGAUCACAGCUUGGGUGACCUGCGUGCACUUAGAGGCUGUUGAUGGAGAAAUUGGUUCGCAAUAAGAUUCGGCAUAAAGAACAAGAGGGAAGACAUUGCCAUGCAAAGGCCUCGAGAGUUCAUUGUAUUCGAAGAAUCCCAAAUCCGUUCCAGAUCCUGGAGGCUGUAUGAAUCUCUGGCCGAACCCUUGUCGAAAAGGUACUUUCACAGGCCUGUCCAUGUUAUGAUACACUUGGGAGAAGCCACAAUAUUGUUCUUCCUUUGCAAAGUAAAAUAUAGUGAAACUGUCACCACAAACAAAAGGUCUUGUGUUCAAAAACUUGAGAUAGUAGAAACUGAGCAAAUCUCUGAUCUCAUGUUCAAAUGACAAAAUCAAGGCCUCGGAGACCUGCCUCGCAUGUGAAUUAAAUGGGACAAAACUGAAUAACACUAGGAGCCUAAUGGGACUCGUCCUCUGAUACCAUGUUAAACUAUGGGAAACAACCGUUAUUCUCCAAGAGCUUAAUUUUUUAGAGAAUGUCGUAUUUAUUAUUUAUACCCAUGAGUAAGAACCGCUUAUACUUGUUCGAGCGUUGUUUCGCACAGGAUAUAUGGUAAUCUUAUGCAGGCCACUAUAUUGUAAGAUUAUGCUCCUUUUCUUUCCUUUUCUUUUUAACAAUUGAAAGUUGUUUUCUUUCAUAAUAUUAGUAACACCAAUUUGCAAUAGAACAGAAUGUGCUGUUUUCUUUUUCAAAUUGUGUACUGUUUAUCAUCUUGAUUGAAUAUCCAGUUAGUUAUAAUUGACUACAAUAGAUUAUCUACGCGGUCAUAGCAAACUCUACGUCAUUCUAUUCUAGUUGCAUAUAAGACCCCUUAACGCUAAAUAAAUCGGAAAAUCUUAUUUCUCAACUAUUUGGAAUUCACUCAAAUAGAACUUUUUACUAAAUAAAUUCUACCGUCAUAUGUGAUUAAGAUGAGUUACUCUUGAAGUUUAUUUUCCAAUUUCUCCUCCAGUUGUCCUCAUUUUUCUUCUAUUUUCUCAUUUUUUAUGUUCUGUUUGCAGAUUCAGAAUGAGUCCAGAAACCAACAGUAAAAAGGAAACUUAUCCAUUUUAUCCAUCAAGGAGUCAAUAUACUUAUCUCUACUUUAAAUUUAAUCAAAAUUCAUUGAACAAAGAGAUUACUGAAAGGCUACUAUCAAUCAGUUAUUACCUGCCGGCGGCCAAUGAAUCAAAGGAGAAGGAGACCAAAUGGCAGUCGGGUUCCCACUCGUCAGGCUCGAUCCAGAUCGAGUCCUUGUCCACGUUGAUGAGGCUCUUGACAGUCUCGGCCCUUCGUCGUGACGGCAAGGGCUUUGUCUGCACAGAGGUGGGAGCGGAGCCGGAAGUGAUAGUCAGAGCAUCUCUGUACAACAUUAUUUGGGCAGCAGUAAUAGUAAGGGGUACUUCCCGCAUUUUCCGAAAUGAAAGGGGGAGAGGGAAGUGGAUGAUCACAUUGGUACCUUCUUCGGUGCCGCCUGCUUGUAGAUUGACCCAUGCCGAAUUUUGCUCGACUUCUCAUUCUCUCAUUUUUCCUCUCUUUUCUGUGGUUCCUCGGUUGUUCGAGUUCUUGUUUGGAUCCAAAUAGUUUUAGAUAGAAAUGGAUGGAGUGUGGAGAAUGAGAAAAUGGUUGAAUAGUUUUCGGAUGGUUUGUUGUUGAGAUGGUGGGAAGAGGAAGAAGAGUUCAACUGGGGCUUGUGAAUAACUACAGAGGCAUGAAAGCUUUCUUUUUGUUGUAUGUUUGUUGUAUGUAUGCAUGGUAGAUAGUGACCCUUAGGCUACUUACAAAGGGUCAAAGGAUGCUUUCCUUUUUACAAUUUUUCUUCUUGUUAGUUUCUUUCUUUGUACCAUUUCAUAUUUGCGCGAUGUUUCGGUACAAUAAAUAGGAUUGUUGGAUGGCGAUCGGUAGAACUCUGUGAUACAAUCUGGUCACCGCAUUGCAUCGCACCUUAGCUCAUCAUGCAACAUGCAUAUAUUCAGCGAAAAAUGGGGCGGGCCGGUCCAUCGGACUAUCGGGCUAUUCCAAAAUAAAAUAGGUUAUGGUCAGGUUUGCAGGUCCCGGAACGCCUUUCGGGCCGGAACUAGAUCAAGCCUCUUAUGAAUGUGGGCUUUUAUAAUUAUAGCUCACUAACAUAGAAAGAGAGAAGAGAGACUUUCUCAUAUUCUGAGGUUUAGGCAAGCUUUUUACCUAUUCCAAAGGGCUUCAUACAUAUUCUAAAGCUUAAUUUCGGACCAUUUCGUUUAAACACAUUCAUUUGAUGUUUUCGGGGGGUCUAAAAAGUCGAAAGCAUUUUGGGGCUCGCAGCUUCCGAUACAAUGAAAUAGUUAAAGCUUUUUCUUUAGUGGUGGUAGUAGUUGUUCCGCCUAAGAACUCUUUGAUAUCUCGCGCUCUCUAAAAUAUUAAAGCAAAUGCCUUUCGAAACACAUAAUUCAGAAACUGGGCAUAAGGGAAAUGGAUUUGUGCAUAAAAAUGUAUUGAAGGAUGAUUUUAUAUAGUCACGAUCAUCUCAAAAUGCUGUCGUUGAAAACUAUUGAUGUGUUGUCGUAUUAAUGUGUUGUAUACGGAAUACCCAAAACAUUCAAAAUGAUGACAAGCUAUUUCCUAUUAGGAGUUAAGUUGGGCCAACCUCUUCUCUUCAGUGGGCGGGCUAUGUCGUCAUGGAUUCAUAACAUAUGUUCUCAGGCCCAGGAUUGUGCAAAUAAUGUUCGAUUCGAGCUCGGGUUUACUGCAACGCAACACCCGAUCCGGCCCAUUCGCACCACUAUCUGCAGUUUACAUUCUGCAAUUGUAAGUCGAUUCUAGCUAGGGUAAGUUCCAUCACUAGUUCCUGAAUUCUCAGUCAAGUUCUCGAGCAUUUACUUUCGACAUUUUGAGACUUCGAGCUUUUUAAAUUGUUUCACUUAUUAAAGUCCUCACUUUAGAACGAGAAAUAGUAUGGCUAAAGAUGCGACUCAAUGUGUGGCGGUAUUUGAAUACGCGAUAGUAAAUCAACGCAUGGUAGAUGCAUAGUACAUUAACAUAGUUGUAUAUGCAGGUCUUGUUUGAGUGCGUGAAUUUCUUGUUCGAUAUAUUUUUUUAAUUUACUCAAGAAAUUCAUACAUUUGGUAGAUGAAAAGUAUGAUGUUUAAAAUAGAAAACCAUAUUCAAUCUUCAAAUUGUUUUUUCAGAAUAAGAUACAUUAUCUCAUCGGUAAAAUAUGCUAGAUAUUCUAUUAAAUCAUGAAUAACAAGAUAUUUGAAGAAACAAAAAUCAAACUCUUUAGUUUCCAUCGUAUUAGAAAAGUCUCGUACGACAUAAUUAAGUUGUUAUUGAAUAACUUAUUCUGACAUCCAAACAUGGCCUAAGUAUAAAUAACAAUUUUCUCUCUAAUGAUAAAUGUGGGAAGUGACAAAAAUAAUGAGCUUGUAAGAGUUUAGAGUCUCAAAUAUCGAACGCGAAAGUUCAAGAACCAAUGUGGACCAUGGACAAAAGUUUGGGGAAUAGUAGUGUAAUUUACCCAAUUCAUUUACCCAUUCUAGCUAGUUAUGAGCAUGAAGAGAAAAGUAGAACCGGCUCCAACCCGAGCGUACCCUUUCCACCGAUGUGUAGAAACCGAAAAAUUCAAGUUUCCUACAUGCCCAAGAUCGUACAACCACCGAAGAGGACAAGAAUGAAGAAAUAGAAAGCUUACAAUAAUAAUCUCAAACAACUCCACAUAUAAAAUUAAGGGAAAACUUCAAAAACCCCCCUUGUGGUUUCAAUUUUUUUCACUUUAGUACCCUGUGGUUUAAAAUGUAUCAAGUUAGUACCCUGUGGUUUCUCACUUUAUCACUUUAGUACCCUGUGGUUUAAAGUGUAUCAAGUUAGUACCCUGUGGUUUUGCACUUUAUCACUUUAGUACCCUGUGGUUUUAAUUUGUAUCAAGUUAGUACCCUGUGGUUUUUUAAAUCACAGGGUACUAAAGUGAUAAAGUGUGAAACCACAGGGUACUAAAGUGAUAAAGUGCAAAACCACAGGGUACUAACUUGAUACACUUUAAACCACAGGGUACUAAAGUGAUAAAGUGAGAAACCACAGGGUACUAACUUGAUAAACUUUAAACCACAGGGUACUAAAAUGAGAAAGUGUGAAACCACAGGGAGGGUUUUUGAAGUUUUCCCUAAAAUUAAAUAACUUUACCAAGAGUAUCCAAAAUACCAUAUAAUGAAAAUAAAAAAAAGACCAAAUGAACAUUCAAUCAAAACACCUUACAAUGAAUGUUCACAAGAGAGGAGAAGAGGUAGAUUAGAGGUCACCCACCUCAAACCUAGCAAAAAUCCAACCACCUUUUGGAUCCUCUCUCACACUUCUCUUGCACUUGAGAGAAACUCCAAAACAAAGGAAAUUUAGAAGCUAAAGAGAAGAAGCUCACUUUUUUUCUCUUAACCUAUUUUCUUUUGACCCCCUAACGAAAAAUCCAUAUAGCCCAACUUGGCUCACUUAGCCCAAAAUAAACCACAAGUCAACUUGACUCAAAGAGAAGAAAAAGAGGCCUAUUUAAACAAUAGACCAUUGGACUCCUAUAAAUACACUUAUUAAACUAGUAAACAAGAGGAAACAAAAAAAAAAAGUUUAGCACUAAUUUUUAGAGUCCGGCUAUGAUGCUUGUAAAUUUUUUACCGUUAGAUCUACGUUUUUAAUCAUUUUUACCCGUUAGAUAAUACUAUUCAACCAACCACCCACUCAACCCUAGAGGGCCCACAUCAUUCUAACCGCAUAUCUCUUUGUAACGACCCAGCCCACUAGCAACAAUAACUCGUUGGGCCCAACAACCAGCCCAAAAUGCUUAAGUCCAGUUAUUAUUACUAGUGUUUAAGUCUCUUAUAAACCCAAUGACAAUCCCAUUCCCAUCCGAUGUGGGACUAUUGGGGUGUCACAGACUCCCUCCAUUAAGGCCCUGACGUCCUCGUCAGUCUAAUCACACACACAGCCCAAGAUUACCAGGCGAUAUGAGACUCGUCUCGCUAGCCCGUCAUUCAGACCCUGGCUCAGCCGAGACUCGCCACACAUGUCCAGCUGGUGAACCGGCUCUGAUACUAAAUGUAAAACGCAGCGGAAGUAUUCGUUCGUACUUUUUUACGGAAGCGAUUCGCGUUACAACUCGAUGAGCCCGGAUCGUCGAGGUUGAUUCACGUGUCCUUUGAUUGUCCUUGAUUAAAUCUUCUCACGUUCCAAACUCGCGAUGGAUCGAACUACAAACGAGCAUGAUCACAAAUCCAUCGUUCAAGUCACUCUUAGAAUAAUAGGUUGAUGGAGGAUGUGGUUUCUCUCUUUCGUUUUCUUAUUCUCUUUUCUUUUUUCAUUCUUGUACAUAUUUGUUAUGUGGGAUCGCCCGUAUAUUUAUAAGGGAUUCCAAAAUCCUAAUAGUAUUAGAGAUAAGGCCAAAUCGGUUAUUAAUUGUUAUCCUAAUAUGAGUAGGAUUUAUCUCUAACUAACUUUCCAAUUUGAAAGCGAGAUUAAUUCCAAUCCAAUUAGAUAACAUAACAUCCGUCGGAUCGAACCCGCUUAUGGGCGUACCCGAUUUAAUUAUUAACCGAAUGCCAACAUCUCCCACUCGCAUCGAUGCCAUCGUAACCACUUCCUCAACAUCACACCACUAUUAAUUCUAUUCAUACAGGAAAAUGAAUAGUGCGACCGCCGAGUCAACCUGCAUUUUGGGAGCUCUAUACUAGAAACCGCAUCCGGCCAGCAUAGAGACAUCAACCCUCAAAAAAAGGAAAAACAAAUAUUAGACUCGUGAUGCCCUAGACUAUUGAAUUACAUCAGGUUUAGCAUCUCUAAUCCCUCAAAGAGCCAUGCUAACCGCAAUUGCGCACAUUAUGACACUAUACUCAUGAUUGUUUCGCUAUAUUGAAGCGAUACAACCUGUCGACAAUGAGUCAAAGUGUCUUAAUGUAAUUCAACUAGUCUUCCUUGAGCCCUCAUGCCACUGAGUUGAGAACUGAUUGCUUUUCCAGCAAUGCCCCGUAAAGCCGCAUCAUUCAUAGCUGUAGGUAACAUGCCAAAGUAGCAACAUCAAUUCUUUCACUUAAUCACAUAGUCAAAAAUCACUAAGAGCAUCUAACAUAUAUAGGACAUCGUCUCAAAAUAAUGUCCGUAAGAACUCACACGAUGAGGAAGCAGGGAUCCAUUCACUCAUCUUCUUUAUUUAGUCGCCUAGCACAUGUAGUAUGAAAUACAUGCUAUGACAGAGAAUCCCAAUAAGCGUAUGUCUUUCUCAAUGUCAUAUGGAUCUUAGCUCAAUCACUUCCGGAGUGUCUAGCCUGAGUUCUCCAUUUGCUCGCUAUCUCAAGCGUCAAACGGUGAGCUCACAUCCGGCUGUUAAUAUACAGGCUAUACGAAUCGUGGGACUAUUCGUAUACGGUCUCAUUAAUGACCUCAUCUUGGUGCCAACCAAGACGGCUUCCAUUAAUGCCUCAAUUUUCGCUCGCUCUCUACAACGCCGAAAAGAAUGAUUGUCCGUGUGAGAGGGCCAAUCAGCCUGUGACAUAAUAUCAAUCAGUUCUACAACAAUAUAGAAAAUAUAUCCACGUGUACUAAUCUCACCAAAUAUCUUUGCAAAAAUAAUAAUUUGUAAUUAAAUAACCAAAAAUAAUCGACUGUCUACAUAAUCAAAUCCUACGAAGUGCAAGAGCUUUAACAUAAGCCAAAAAAUAAUUCUCUAACAACAGGCUUAGUUAGAGAAUCUGCAACCACGCGACUCGUAGAUAUGUGUUCCGGGAUUAUUUUCUUCUGCGCCACUGCUUUCGAGUGGUCCAAUCCCAGAUUAGACGGAAAAUGGCUCAGGCCCACGGCAUAGCAUAUAUCAGGCUGAGUACACAUUAUAGCAUACAUCAGGCUUCCGACCGCAUCAGCAUAUGGGAUCCGAUUCAUCUUAUCCUUCUCUUCAGAAGUUUUAGGGCACGGUUUAAGGUUCAAACUCUCACCUUUAGCAAUAGGAGUGUCAAUGGGUUUGCAAUUGUGCAUCUGAAAUCGUUCUAAAACUUUUCUUAGGUAAGACUCUUGAGACAUAACUAAAAGUUUCUUAGAACGAUCUCGUAGGAUCUUAACUCCGAGCACAUAAUUCGCUUCACCCAUGUUCUUCAUUUCAAAAUUAGAGGACAGUCACGUCUGAGUGGCGACAAUCAUCUCCUUAUUAUUCCCGGCCAAUAGGAUGUCAUCAACAUAUAAGGAAAGGAUUAGAAAAAAUCUUUGGACCGUUUAACAUACACACAAUGAUCUUCUUCAAUCAUCGUAAACCCAUCUUCAGUGAUGGCUCGAUGAAAUCGAAUAUACCACUGUCUGGAGGACUGCUUCAAUCCAUAAAUGGAUCGGUGGAGCUUACAAACUUUAUGCUCCUCACCCUUUACAGAGAAGCCAGCAGGCUGAUCCAUAUAGAUCUCCUCGUCCAGUUCUUCAUUGAGAAAUGCAGUUUUAACGUCCAUUUGGUAAAGUUCCAAAUCCAAAUAUACGACAAUGGCCAAGAUCAGACGGAUCGAAGCAAACUUUACGACAGGAGAGAAGGUUUCCUCGUAAUCAACGCCUUCUCGUUGGGUAAAACCCUUUGCUACUAGGCGAGCCUUGUACCUAUCGAUAGAACCGUCUGCCUUGCGCUUAAUCUUGAGAACCCAUUUAUUCCCGAUUAUUUUGUGCCCUGGUGGCAAGUCAACCAAGUCCCAGACAUGAUUUGACUUCAUCGAUUCUAUUUCCUCUAUCAUUGCAUCCAACCAUUCCUUAUGAGUAGGUAAUGAGAGAGCCUCUUGGAAAGAUCUAGGCUCAUCAUUAUCAUGUGCAGCAACUAUGAAAGCUUCCCCCUCAAUCUCAAAACGACGAUGGGGAACUCCCACACGUCUGCUCCUACAAAGUUGAGGCUCCAUAUUUAAAGGUAAGUCGCUCCUACUAUCCCCAUGAGGUAUCGGAGUUGCCUCCUCUGCCUCAACUGAGCGAAUAGAAGCGCCAAUGUCAGAGUCAUCCAUCUCAUGGAACUCAGUUUCAUUUCGAACCUCACUUCUAUAAGGAAAAUCCUCCUCGAGGAAUUCAACAUUUCGUGACUCAAUCUCAGUCAAACUUCCAUCUGGCUGCUUUCCAAUGAACACAUAUCCGUUAGAGUGAUCAGGGUAUCUUAUAAAGAUACACUUUCUUCCUCUAUGACCCAACUUUCCAUACUUGUGAGAAGUGUUGUGUACAUAAGCUGCCGAACCCCAAGGUCGCAGGUGCUCCAAAUUUGGUUUUCUGCCUGUCCAUAAUUCAUAAGGGGUGGAAGGUACUGUUUUGGAGGGUACACGAUUAAGAAUGUAAGCAGCAGUUAACAAUGCGUCUCCCCAAAAGGAGACAGGCAAAUUUGCUUGCGCCAUCAUUGACCUAACCAUGUCAAGCAAGGCGCGAUUUCUUCUCUCCGCUACACUAUUUUGCUGCGGAGUGCCAGGAAUUGUCAGCUGUCUGAUUAUUCCCUUUUCAUCACACAAUUUCUUGAAUUGUUCAGAUAGAUACUCGCGGCCUCGAUCAGUUCUUAAGCAUUUAAUUUUCAUAUAUAACUGAUUCUCAACCUCAUUUAUAUAACGUCUAAACAAUCCAAUGCUUCGACUUAUGGGAGAUCAGAUAAACAUGACCGAAGCGCGUAUGGUCAUCUAUAAAUGUGAUGAAGUAAAAAGCACCAUGUCUUGCUCUCACACUCAUUGGGCCACAAAUGUCGGAAUGGAUCAAUUGUAAAGGAAAUUCUGCCCUAGAAGCUUUAUUAAAUAAUUUUUGGGUCGCUUUUCUCGCUAAACAAUGUUCACAUAUGGGCAGGUCGACUUUAGUGAGCGAGCUCAAAAACCCGUCUCUAACUAAUCUAAUCAUUCUAUCCUGCCCAAUAUGACCAAGACGUGCAUGCCAUUUAAUUGAAACAUUGUGAUCAUUCUCAACAGAAGAUAGCAGGGAAAAGGAAUCACUAUUAUUAAUGUUAUAAUAAAUGUUCAAAACUAUAAAACCAUUUGACAUAAAAUCUCUACCAUAAUAAAUAGUUCCAAGAUGAAUCUCAACUACAUCACUCUCAAAACAAAAAGAAAAAACCUAACUGUAGCAUAGCAAGAAUAAAAAAUAAGUUCUGUCGAAUUCCUGGAGCAUAAAGUACAUCAUGUAGGUACAAAGUUCGACCACCUUGCAUGAUCAACUUGUAUGUGCUAAUGCCUAACACAUCGACACUAGAAUCGUUCCCCAUGUAUACUUUUCUGCUCCCAGCAGGCACACGACGGUACUCGACGAAUCCCAGCCGAUCCCUCGCUAUGUGGUCUGUUGCUCCUGAGUCUACAAUCCACACAGGGAGAGAUUCAGCAACAAACAAAAGAGCGAGAAUCGGGAUAGAGAUGUACCUUCUUCGGCUCAGUGCAAUCACGAGCGAAGUGUCCCAACUGAUUACAAUUGAAACAAGUCAUCUUUGACUUGUCCUUCUUGCCACCUUGUUUGCUUCUAUUUCUUUUAGUGUUCUUCGCGUUCUUAGGUGCGGAUCCACUACGAUUUUGAGCCUUAGUAGUCCUCUUUCGCUUGAACCCAGAUAUCCUGCGAAAGUUUCAUUCAGCAGCAUUGGCAGUUGGAGUUUUAACAGCCUCAAGGCGCUCCUCCUCCAACUCCAAAUGCCGCGCAACAUCCUCAAAACUUUUGAUAUUGUCAUUAUGGGUCAAAUUUACUCGCAUAUGUUCCCACGAAUUGGGAAGAGAGCGAAUCGUAGCUUGGAUCUGCUGCUCAUCAGUCAAGGUGCCGCCAGCCGACUUUAACUCGCGAAUCAUAUUUGACAUUGUUCUUACGUGCUGUUUCAUAGUCUGAUCAGCACGCUUCUUAUAACUGUCAAACCUCAUAGUCAGACUGCGCAACCUUGUACCCGAAGUUGCACCAAAUUUUACUUUGAGAGCCUCCCACAUGUCAUACGGAGUCGGAUACUGCUCACACUCGCACAAGAGAUCAUUCUGCAUACUGCUCAGCAACGUGAUGCGAGCAAUGCGAUCCUUUUUAAGCCAAUUAUUAUAGACUUCCAUCUCUCGGCGAGCCUGGACACUGGUGCCCUUUGUGGGUAGGUCCAUUUUAUUACUCAAGUUUUUCAGAACCUCUUGCUCAGCGAGAACAUAUUGAAUUUUACGGUGCCAAAUAUCAUAAUUGUCACCAUCCAAUUUCUCGCCCUUGUUUAAAUCCGCAAGAAUUUGUUUGGAAGCCAUUAUAUCUUACUUUGUUCAUGCAAUGCGCAGAAAAGGAUAUUUUAAAACUAGUACACGAUACAUGUAUUCAAUUUUACCGUAUCUCUAAUUAAAUAAAUUAAAAAAUUAGACCAUAGAUGCGUAAAGGAAAAUUUCGCUAUACUCAUAAUCACAUCACGCACCAUAUGUCAAAAAAUUUUAAAUACUUAAUAAAGAUGCACAAAAUAUUUGGGAGUAAAAGCAUAUAAUUACUCUACCAAAAAUAAAGGACUCCCACUAGAUAAGACAUGCAUAAAAUAUAUGUGCCUAAAGAUACAUUUAUCCAUACAUCAUAAAAGGCAUUAUUAUAUUUUAAUAUGCAUGAAAUAUAAUAAAUGCAUGCGUUAUAUAUAUUACAAAAGCAUAUUUAGCCAUCAAAAAUGCAUAUUAAAAAUUUAUUUAAAAAAAUGGUGCAGAAAACCAAAAAAAAAUCAGCAGGUCCGAGCGACUGCGGGCCCGUUCGCGGGUCAACCUGCGCGGUCGGCAAGCGCUGGGUCGCGCGGCCCGCGCCGGGCCUGUUAGCCCGCACAGUCCGCGCGCGGCCCUGAAGGGCCCUACGGCCCACAACCUCGCGGCCUGCGCGCAGCCCGCGCGGCCCGCGCACCCCGCAUGGCUCACUCAGGCUGCGUGAGGCCAGCGUGGCCAGCGCACGGCCCGCACGCACGCGCAGCCCGUGCAUGCGCGGCCCGCGUGGCCUGCGCUCACGCGCGGCCUGCCUGGCCCGCGCUGCGCACGGGCUGCGUGCGGCCCGCGUGGCCCGCGCGGCGGCCUGCGUGCCCGCACGGCUCACGGGCUGCGCGCGGCCUGCGCACAAGUGCGGCCUGCGUGGUGUCCGCGUGCGCGCCAACGCACCGGAACACUAUUUUUCAAUUUUUUUAUUUUUUUAUUUAUUUUAUUUUUUUAAAGAUAGCUAAUCUUUAAAAAAUCAUAACAUGAGAUUUAGAAAACCGAUUUAGACAAGAAAUAUGUCGAUAGAAAGCUUGUGACGAGCUCUUGCAAGUUUCACAAUGGGAUAUGCAUCACACAUCAAAUAAGCCACCAAAAGUUCUGAUUUAGGGUUUUGUUUUUCUCAUAAAAUACAAAACCAAAUCAAAUCGAAAUUUAUUGAUCUAAUCUACAACUUCGGUGCUUCAAGAUGUGUAAAAAUCAUACAAAGAUAUCCAUUUAUGAAAAAACCGCCAUUAACGCUCACAUACAUGCAAGAAAAAAUCUAAAAUAUGAUAGAUUUAAUUUAACGCAUGUAAUCUCAUUAAAGGAUUGAUCUAUGCCACGAAAUCAACCUAAAAAAGGCUCUGAUACCAAAUGUAAAACGGAGCGGAAGUAUUCGUUCGUACCUUUUUGUGGAAGCGAUUCGCGUUACAACUCGAUGAGCCCGGAUCGUCGAGGUUGAUUCACGUGUCAUUUGAUCGUCCUUGAUUAAAUCUUCUCACGCUCCAAACUCGCGAUGGAUCGAACUACAAACGAGCAUGAUCACAAAUUCACCGUUCAAGUCCCUCUUAGAAUAAUAGGUUGAUGGAGGAUAUGGUUUUUCUCUUUCGUUUUCUUAUUCUCUUUUCUUUUUCCGUUCUUGUACAUAUUUGUUAUGUGGGAUCGAUUCCAAAAGUACAUGAGCUCAAUUCCUAAUUUUUAACAGUUAUGUCACUCUAGCUCUCUCCAUGCGCCUCACAUUUGAUUCCAAAUGCUCUUCACAUCAGGGCAAAAGAUCUUUUCAAGUUUUUCCACAAGACAAAAAGCACUAAUCUUCUAGAUUCCAUCUUCCACACUUGGCCCCACAUUCCCCAUUUUUGAAGAAUCCCAUGCAGCUAAAAGAUGCAAUACCAAUCUAGUGAUAUAUGCAAUAUGUAAUAUUAUUCUUUGAAGGUGAAAAUGUAUUGAGACCCACUCAACAAUGGUGUAUUCUUAAAUGGCCCCCCGCAACUUUAGUUUUCUCUAUUUACGUUCAUUUAACGUCUGAUUUUCUGAAAUCGAGUUAUUCUGGUCACUUUGAUUAAAAAGUUUUCCAAGCGAUUAAAAUCAUUAAAUUUGAUAAAAGCAUAUAUUACUAUUUGACUCUAAUCACUUAAUUUCAAAAAUUGGAAGUUAAGAGAGUCUCAACUUUUUUUAAAAAAGGUUAAAGCUGGGGGGUUAUUUCCGAAUAGCCUAUAAUUGAGGGGGACUGAUCCAUUACAUUUUUACCUUUUUUCAUUAAGGACAAAACUUUGACAAAGAGGACAAGAAUAAAUCUAGCAACUGAAAAGACAGCAAAUUUAUUGGCAUCUUAUCUACAUAAACAUUUCAUUCACAUAAAAAAAUUUAGCACAUUGGCAUGCAAAGCCAAAAAACUUUUUUAAGUUCUCAAGCAUUAUGUGCAUAAGAUCAUACUUCCAAGUUCUAAGAUUCCCCAGUGCCUUUUAGUGGAUGAUCGAGCUGGUUUUCAUUUGAGUCUUCUCAAGCCCAAAGCUUCAAGUUUGUUUGUUUUUUUUUUUAAUACUUUUUUGAUUUAAGACAAGGAGAAUUUGAUCCCAACAGUUGCCUAAUGAACCAUAGGUCACUUCAUGAGAGGGCCAUGCAUAUUGAGGCUACAUAAGAUCUUAAUAAGAUACUAUCACAUUUCACCUUUAAUUAAUCACCGAGUAACGCUGUAGGUAUUGCAUAUAUGACUCUUCUUGUAAGUUAUUAAUAUGUUUGCAUAAUAACAUUCUAAAUAUAGUAUAAAUCGGCACAUCAGUAAUGCAAGUAUCCGUAAGUAUAUAAGACGUACCAAAGCAUCAAGUCUCUUUAAGGCCCUAGUGAGUUGUCGAAAGUUUCCACUUAGUUGAUUUGCCAAUGGUGAACAUUUCAUAGUGGUUUAAAAUGAUAGAAUCAACAUCCAAAGUGAUUAAUAGAAUAUUCAAAUUCGUGGCACAAACUGGGGGAUUUAUCAGAAUAGAGAGAUUCGUUGUAGAAAGAGGGUUGCUAAGCUCAUAUACGAAGGAAAAUUAUAUAAUGCGAAAGAAUAUAUAUUACAAAAUAUUAUUAUUAAUAAAUCAGUGUUGUAAUCCACACAAUAGCUAGUUAGCAGUUUAGCUUAUCAAAGUUAAUGUCCAAAUAUUUAGUGUUAUACUCGAAUUAAAGUUGAUUCAUCAACUACCAGACACAUAUUGAUACCUUGAGAAUUGUUCCAAUAAACAAAAUUGGCACUAGUCAAAGGUCUUCAUUAAUUUAUGCUCAAGCUUAUAAAUGAAAUAAUCGUACUUCAAGAGGAGUACUAGAAGGAUUAGACAUCAAUGACUUGAAUAAUAUAAUGGAAAAAGGAAAUAGUUAAUUAUUGUAAAGAAUUGAACUGGUGAAGUGAUGGGUGCUCUACCAAUGAUAAAAAGAUGAUGUGCUUAAUGAUUGUUUACAAAUUACAACAAAGGCCAAUGAGAUCUCUUUGGUGGGUCCACCUUUUAGCUAUCUUAAUGCCCCUAUUUGAGUGGUGCUCCUUAUCUUGAAUUUGGACAAGGUACCCUAAAUAUUGGCUUUUCUCUAUGGUAGGGCCAUUUUUUUAAAUACCAUAUUGUUUGCGUUUUUUUUUUUUUUCUUCUAACAAUGUGGAAUCCAGCUGCUAUCCUAUUAAUACGACAAAACACUUUAUCUUAUCAAGUCAUUUUAGAUGAUUAAGGCUAGCCCGAAUUUCGUAAUUUUUAAAGAUAUUUACGUUAUGGUUGAAAGACCUCACAUUCGAAAAUUUUGGACAGCCUACGAGUGCUGUUUACUCGUCUAACAGUUUAAACGAUUUAAAUCGGUUGAAACAUUAAUUGAAGGAAAAUUCUAUCUUGAUCAUGUUUGAUAGCCCCGAUCUUAUUUUGAGAAACUUUAACCUCUAUUUUUACAAUAUUUUUUGUUUUCAACUUUUUAUUUUGUGGUCUUUUGAUGCACUAGAUAAUUAUUUUUUAAAAAAUCAUAAAAUUUGAUUCCUAAACUUUUCAAAUGCUCAUGGAUCAUAUUUGAUGGUGUCGAUUGCCAAUUCAGACUCCCAAUUAUCGAAAAUAUCUUGAUUUGACAAAGGACUUUGUCUUAUCAAUAGAAUAGUAGCUAGGUUCUAACAAUGUGAACCAUUAGAGCACACAGAAAUACAUUUUGAGGACCUCUCGGCGAAAUGACAUUAUUUUUCAGCUAAAUCUAUAUGAAAUUUAUCUAUCUAAACUAUGGUCUAUUUUGAAAUAAGUAUAUAGCUUUUAAAAGUUUUGAGUUUACUAUCUAAUCAUUAAAUUCAUUUAAUUUGAUCGAUUCAAUGGCUCUUUACAGAAGAAUUUUUUUUGAAUAUUUCUUCUGAUCAUUUUGCUCGACUAUCUUUCUAUUAAGGCAAACAUGACAUGUUCAAAUUUGUAAAAACGAGCCAUAAAUUUUUUAUAGAAUUCAUAGGGACUUACCCCUAUAAGUUUGAACGUGCUAUCAAAUGGCCCAAAUCAAAUGGAUUGAAAGAUUAAAUAGUAAAAUUAAAAAAAAAAAUUUACAUAUCAAAUCGCUAAUUAUGUGCUCAAGAGUAGUUACACUCGAUAUUAUCCUCAAAAUUUAACAAGAUUAUUAAUUACUAGAUUUAUUGAAGAAAUUAACUUAAGAACACAUCCAAUAGAAUUGAUUAAUUAAUGAAGCUUAAUGUAUUAUUCGGCUCAUUGAUUUGUAUUUGGGUGGUAUAGCAUCGAUCGUUAAGACAAAAUAAUAAAGUCUAAGAACAAUGUCUAGUACAAAACUUGUAUUUUUAAAAUGGUUAUAACGACAAUAUCGAUAAAGUUUGAAGUGUUGGUGAGCAUCGAUCACUCGAUUUCCUAAAUAAUUUAGGGUUAGUUUAUUUUCAUUUUAGUGUGGUCGUCGGCCAAUGCCGACACCAUGAUACCUUGUUUAUGUAGCAAAUACUCCCACUUAACACAAAAAUAUUUGCACAACGCGUACAAGCUGGUACUAAUAAACUACACUAUAAUCCUUAGUAUAUAGAAAGGGUACGUAUAAAUUAAACACAAUAUUACAAUAAUAAAAAGGUGUGAUGAGCAUUAAUUUAGAAAAGGUCUUAUGGUGUAUACAAAGAAAUAAAGGAAGAGACAACUCUUUGUGCUGUUCCAUGAUAAAUAUAAUUGGAACAUGCAUAUACUUGAUGCCCCUUCAAUUGUGAUGAAACAAACAAUUUGCUUAGUUUAGUUAUUUAUUUAUGUUAUGGUUUUUGAAAUGGAGUACCUUUGGACUCAUGCAUGCUCCUACCCCAUCAUGAUUGAGCUGGUUUUUAUAAUUUCAUGUUUUAUUUGAGAAGUAGAAGUUGAAAAAUAUGAGAAUAGAGAAGCAUAAUCAAUCUCUUGUUUCACACAAAAGUUGGAAUAAAAUUUUAAUACUUCAAAAGCAAUUUGAUUUAAGUUAAUCAUGUUAAAACUUAAAUCGAGUGUUGGAAUUAAUUAAAAAAGGAAAGAAGGAAAAGAUUAAAGCUUCAAUAUGGGAUAACAUAUUUGCAUUUUAAUAUCUUUGUUUCGAGGUGUAGCACUUUACUCACUAUGGUUACUGUUUUUGUCAAUAACUUCACGGCUUCGAGAGGAAAGUUUAUAUUUUGUGAAGAACAGAAAAAUAAAACAUACAUAGCGGGAAAAUAAAGAGUCAUAUUUUAUCAUUCUAUAGUUUGUUAAAUAUAAAACUGAAACAAAUUUACAUGAAGCUGACAAAAAGCUACAUUUUAAUCUACAAAUAUAUCAUACCAUGAGGAGUCUUUUUUUAUUUAUUUUUUUUUUUUUCAAAAAGAUCGAAUAUAUAUGAAAAGUUAGUAAAGUCUUUUAGGUAUGCUUGAAUGUUGGAAUAAGUUAUUAUCGGAUAAGUUAUCGGAUAAUAAAUUAUUCGGUACAAAGUUUUUCUUUUUGUAUAAUUGGAACGUAUUGAUCAGUUUGAUUUAGCAAACUCAUCGCAAAGUUUUAGCAUCCAUAAUUUGAAGGAAUAAUAAUAGGGUUAAUUUCAUACAAAUCCCUACAAAUAUAGUGAACAGUAAAUAUAUAUCUACAAAGUUUAACUUUUAUAUGUUAUCCCUACAAAAUAUCUAAUAUUUCAAAUAUGUCCCUAUGGUUUUUUACCGUUAGAGACCUGUUUAUAUUUUCAAUUUUGCCAUCACAAAUAUGUCCCUCCAAAAAUCAUAAUAGUAUAAUAUAAAAAGAGUAAAAAUGUCAAAAACUAACUAGGGUUAAGUAUUUAACCUAUGGUUAAUUAAAAUUUUCUAAUAGAUUCUAACGGCAGGAACAUAUUUGAAAAUAUCAGGACAUUUGUAAGGACAACAUAUAAAAGUUAAACUUUGUAGGAAUAUAUUUGUCACUCACUAUGUUUGCAGGCACCUGUAUGAAAUUAACCUAUUCCACCCACGAAAUAAUUUAUCUUAUUCCUAAAAUAUUAUGUGAAGGUUGAACAUGCUAUUUAUUUUAAACAUGUACUAGUCCUAACCUCCAAUCACAAUAAUAAAAUUUCAUACUAAAUAGAAUAUGACUAUUUAAAUUAUUUCAACUUCCAACAGGAUCUUACUUCCACUGACAUUCCAACCCAUGCCAAAUGCAGAACCCAGGGCUUGUUUGACCUUACAGCAGUGUUUAAUAAAGUACUAUAUCCAAAGUACUAUUAGGGAAAGCCUAUCAGGCCAUAAUCUUCCUUACAGCUUCCCUCUACAACAGUAGAAUCAUUUAAACUUCUCAAUUAUAUCUGCUUUUUAGUACAGUAAAAAGUUCUACAGCUAAAAGCAAGUAAAAAGUCAAAAAAAGCACAAAGGUUUGAAUAAAAACAAAUUUAUGGAAUAGUGGGAUGCAAUCAUGCAUUUGCAUUGCUCUAGAUUCAUCUCCAUAUAAAAUUAAUUGCUUUUUUAGCCCCCAUCAAUCAUCAUGCAUAGAAGGUCCACAAAAGAAACACUACAUAAAUUAAAACCUAAGCAUUUUGUUAUUUUUUAGUGUACUUGAGGUUAGAAUAAAGCUGUACUUCUGUGCCGGCCUGCUCAAGUAGUGCAAAUGCCAAAAUAGAAGUUCCUAAGAUUUUAAGCCUUUUUAGGUUUUAGUGUCCUUUUUAUUUGAGUUGAAUUAAGUGAACAUUUUUUUGGGUCCAAAUGACUCUAUUGGUCUCUUCCCUAAGGAAUUGGAGCAUAAAAUAAAAUGAAAUACUUUAGGUUGUCACAAGAUUUGUUAAUAAACAAGUUCGGUUCUGAAGUAAUCACACUGAUAAGCUAUUCCACAAAGAUUUAUUCUAAUCGUGUAUCUUACUUUAUGAUGUUUCUAUAACUAUUCUAAAAUUACGGCCCAAUUGACUAAAGAUUGUAUUUAAAUUAAGUAUGAUGCAUAGUUUAGAUGGAACUAGUCUCCACAGAAUAAUCUAGAUAAAAAUAAUGUUAGUGCAUUCUUCUCCUGAACCGCACCCUUAGUAAAUACAUGUCAUGCUAUUGGAAUGUGUACAUGAACUAAAUAAAGACUCUCACAUCAUAUAUGCUAAUAUAUCAGCAGCUUAAUUAAUUACAAGACUAGCAUUCUGAAAAUUUUUUAUAGUUGUGGAGUUCAUCAUCGUAACGACUGGGCCGAUUGAAAUAAGUUAAAAUUGUCUUCUUCUUUGGAGAGGAUGUGGAAGCCGCAAUUUGACUAGCUCAUGAACUCUUGAGAAAUGUGCCACCUGCAACAGGCUUUUUCUAGGUUUUGGAUUCAUGUAAUCACUUCAUCUUUGAAAACUUUUGAGUUGCUAGAGAUUAAUAUUGAGUAAAGGAUAAGUGAUUGUGACUCUGAAAGUGGUCGAUUGGAUAAAGAAUAUAUAGGUUGUACACUUCCAUUGUACGAUUGCUUUUUUGUUAACUACAUUGUUAAAUAACCCUAUUUGCGUACCAUUAUUGCAAGCCAGAAACUUAUCCAGCUUUCGCACUUAUCGAACUUUCAAGUGCGGUAGCAGCACAUGUAGCAUUUAGAAACUUACGGAUGCUCGAUUGCGUACGUAAUGCGUCACGUAAUUCGUACUUGGAAGAUGGUAGGAACUAGCUAGGUAGUUAGAAACUGAGUCGUAUAUUUACAGAAUCUGAUUGCUCUAUUUUGUGUUUAAAAAAACGACAGUUGAACACAUUUGCAGAACACUCGCAUACAUUCAAUUGUCGAUUCGCAUGUUUUUGUAAGACUAUAGAUGUGCACAUACAAUGAAGAUGUAAAAUUCCGAGUAUAUUACCUACACAGAAAGAGUAAUUCUACACGUUAGGAUAUUAAUUAGUUGCAUACUUUUAAAUGCAAAAGUAAUUUGUGUAUGUGCAACACAGAGUAAAACUAUUUUUAUCAUUUUCAUCCGUUAGAUUAUACUAUUCAACUGACCAUGCACCCACUCAAUCCUAGGGGACUACAUUAUAACCGGGAACCACUAUUAUUCUAACCGCAUAUCUUUUUCUCUAACGAUCGAAAACUUAUCAGUACAAAAGGAUCGAUAUUCAUAAGAGUAUAGUAGCCCUAACAUAUAUAUAUAUAUAUAUAUAUAUAUAUAUAUAUAUAUAUUAUAAAUUAAUAUAUAUGAGGAGAGAGAGAGAGAGCGAAGAGACGAAGAGAGAGAGGAGAGAAGAAGAGAGAAGAGAGAGAGAGCAUCAAAGAUUAAAAACUCAAUAGCAAAGAACCAAAUACUAUUAAUAGUAUUCCAGGUCAGUAUAAUAUUUAUAUAUAUAUAUAUAUAUAUAUAUAGAACUAGACUACUAUACUAUUAAUAGCAUCAAGUCAUUGGUGCUAUUAAUUUUUCGGCCCUUGGAUGGAGGAAUGUGCGGCUAGGAUGAUAGUGGUACCCUAGGGUUGAGCGGGUGGUUGGUUGAAUAGCAUGAUUUAACGGAUAGAAAUAAUCAAAAUGUUAAAUCUAAUGGUGAAAAAUUUAGUAGUACUAAGUGCUUGGUGCUAUUAGAAGCACCCCAGUCGAACUCUCUCUCUAUAUAUAUAUAAAGAGAGAGAGAGAGUCCGGCUGUUAUACUAUUAAUAACAUGUGUUACCAAAUUGUUUUCAAUGAUGCGGUUUCCAAAUUAACGAUCAGUAACAUUAAACUUGAUCUAUACUAUUGAAAGUAUUUGAAAACUAAAUUUCAUAAUUUUUCAACAUUAUUUGGCUAGUGAUAAAAAAGCCUCAAAAUUGACAAUUUUAAUGGUUGGUAUGAUGCGUUUUUGAAUUUAACAGUAUAAAAUAAUUCAAAUUUUAUGAAAUUUUUAUAAUUUUUUUUUACUAUUUAGAGUAAGAUCAAUAUCUCUGAUCUUAUAUUCAAGCUUUUAUUAUUAUUUUUUAUAAAAUUUUUAUUUUCAGCUGUUUAUUUUUAAAUUACUCGUUUGAUAAAUAAAUUAUGUUUAAAAAUUAUAAAAUUUAGUUUUCAAAUAUUUUUAAUAGUGCAGAUAAAAUCUAACAAAGUCGAUAAUUAAUCGAUUUGGAAGUCGUAUCAUUGAACACAAAUACCAAUAGUAUAGCGGUUGAACUCUAUAAUUGAAUAUGCUCGUGAAGUCAUUUGUGCAUUUUGUACAUCACAUGGAAUGUAUAUGUGAAGAACGUACACAUACUAAACUAGGUUUAGCAUCAAAAUUAAACAAAAAAGAAAACAAGGAAAGAACUAAAAAAAUCAUAUGAACGUAGCCUCAGAUCUGAAUAAAUUCAUCGCAUUCAAAAUGAACAUUUAUAUAUAUAUUAUAUUAUUAUAUAUAUAUAAUAUAUAUAUAUACUAGUUGAGCAUACGUGCAACUGCACGUAAUAAUUAUUUUAAUUUAUUUUAAAUCAAUAAAUAUUUGUAAAUCAUAUUUAUCAAAAUUUAAAAUAAAUAUUUUCUAAAUUUAUAUGUUAAUUUUAUUAGAAAAUAUCUACAAAUAUCAAUUUUAAAUUUUAUAUAAAAUAGAUGGAUAGAUUUGAUAUCAAAAAAUAAAAAUUUAUUUAAUUCAAAAUUUAAACUCAAAUUUAAAUUUUAAUGUAAAUAAAUGGAUUGAACAUAAUAAUUCAUUUUUAUUUUCAAUAUUUUUAACAAUUGAUCAUAGCCGUUCGUAGAAUUGAAUUUUAAGAUAGGUAUGAAUGUUUUUUAAACAAUUGAUCAUAAUCGUUUGUUUUAUUUGAGAUAAUUUUUUACAAAUUGAUCAUAAAUUUGUUAUUCAUAUUA